AGGCCAUGAUGAAGACAUUCUUGGAGUAGAUCAUUGAAUCUCUCUAUAAGUUCGAAAAAAGACUCAUAAGGCUUUUGCCUAAACUGAAUGAUAUCACUUCUAAGCUU